rnacentral:rRNA from 1 species
AUUGAACGCUGGCGGCAGGCCUAACACAUGCGAGUCGAGCGGAUGAAGGGAGCUUGCUCCUGGAUUCAGCGGCGGACGGGUGAGUAAUGCCUAGGAAUCUGCCUGGUAGUGGGGAUAACGUCCGGAAACGGGCGCUAAUACCGCAUACGUCCUGAGGGAGAAAGUGGGGGAUCUUCAGACCUCACGCUAUCAGAUGAGCCUAGGUCGGAUUAGCUAGUUGGUGGGGUAAAGGCCUACCAAGGCGACGAUCCGUAACUGGUCUGAGAGGAUGAUCAGUCACACUGGAACUGAGACACGGUCCAGACUCCUACGGGAGGCAGCAGUGGGGAAUAUUGGACAAUGGGCGAAAGCCUGAUCCAGCCAUGCCGCGUGUGUGAAGAAGGUCUUCGGAUUGUAAAGCACUUUAAGUUGGGAGGAAGGGCAGUAAGUUAAUACCUUGCUGUUUUGACGUUACCAACAGAAUAAGCACCGGCUAACUUCGUG